rnacentral:rRNA from 1 species
AAGCGUGGAUGGCCAAAUUGUGACAUGUGUCCUCUUUGCAAGAGGAUGCAAGAAAGGGGGACUCACCUCCUCUACAAGGGCUGCUACACCAGAAGGCUAUGGUCUUUGGUCAUUGACAAAUACCACAUUCUCGGACUCGACAUAAACACUUGGCCCUUGUUCGACUCGGUUGAGGUUUGGUGGGCAAGUACAUGCGACAGCGCCACACCAUUCAGACAAGCCAAGGCAUCCCUCACCAUGCUCAUCUCAUGGACUAUUUGGAACGAGCGAAACGCGAGAGUGUUCAAGCAGAAGAGCGCGCCACCGACUACAUUGCUUGCCUCCAUCACGACCGAGGCUAGCCUCUUGAUUAUCGCCGGUGCAAAAAAACUAGGGUCCAUAAUAUUGCGAGAGUAA